rnacentral:rRNA from 1 species
AGAUUGAACGCUGGCGGCAUGCUUUACACAUGCAAGUCGAACGGCAGCACGGGGGCAACCCUGGUGGCGAGUGGCGAACGGGUGAGUAAUGCAUCGGAACGUAUCCUUGAGUGGGGGAUAACGCAGCGAAAGUUGUGCUAAUACCGCAUAAGCUCUGAGGAGGAAAGCGGGGGACCGAAAGGCCUCGCGCAGCAGGAUGAGCCGAUGUCCGAUUAGCUAGUUGGUGGGGUAACGGCCUACCAAGGCGACGAUCGGUAGCUGGUCUGAGAGGAUGAUCAGCCACACUGGGACUGAGACACGGCCCAGACUCCUACGGGAGGCAGC